AUUGAACGCUGGCGGCAGGCCUAACACAUGCAAGUCGAACGAGUGGCGGACGGGUGAGUAAUGUCUGGGAAACUGCCUGAUGGAGGGGGAUAACUACUGGAAACGGUAGCUAAUACCGCAUACCAUCGGAUGUGCCCAGAUGGGAUUAGCUAGUAGGUGGGGUAAAGGGUCACCUGGGCGACGAUCCCUAGCUGGUCUGAGAGGAUGCCCAGGCACACUGGAAGUGAGACACGGUACAGAAGCCUACGGGAGGCAGCAGAGGGGAAUAUGGCACAAGGGGCGCAAGCCUGAUGCAGCCAUGCCGCGUGUAUGAAGAAGGCGUUGGGGUGGUAAAGUACUUUCAGCGGGGAGGCGUGACCCGCAGAAGAAGCACCGGCUAACUCCGUGCCAGCAGCCGCGGUAAUAC
rnacentral:rRNA from 1 species